AUACGUAGGGUGCAAGCGUUAAUCGGAAUUACUGGGCGUAAAGCGUGCGCAGGCGGUUUUGUAAGACAGAGGGGAAAUUCCCGGGCUCAACCUGGGAUCUGCCUUUGUGACUGAAAGGCUAGAGGACGGCAGAGGGGGAUGGAAUUCCGGGGGUAGCCGGGAAAUGCGUAGAUAUGCGGAGGAACACCGAUGGCGAAGGCAAUCCCCUGGGCCUGUACUGACGCUCAUGCACGAAAGCGUGGGGAGCAAACAGGAUUAGAUACCCUGGUAGUCCACGCCCUAAACGAUGUCAACUGGUUGUUGGGUCUUCAUUGACUCAGUAACGAAGCUAACGCGUGAAGUUGACCGCCUGGGGAGUACGGCCGCAAGGUUGAAACUCAAAUGAAUCGACGGGG
rnacentral:rRNA from 1 species